AUUGAACGCUGGCGGCAGGCCUAACACAUGCAAGUCGAACGGUAGCACAGAGAGCUUGCUCUCGGGUGACGAGUGGCGGACGGGCGAGUAAUGUCUGGGAAACUGCCCGAUGGAGGGGGAUAACUACUGGAAACGGUAGCUAAUACCGCAUAACGUCGCAAGACCAAAGUGGGGGACCUUCGGGCCUCACACCAUCGGAUGUGCCCAGAUGGGAUUAGCUAGUAGGUGGGGUAAUGGCUCACCUAGGCGACGAUCCCUAGCUGGUCUGAGAGGAGGACCAGCCACACUGGAACUGAGACACGGUCCGGACUCCUACGGGAGGGAGCAGUGGGGAAUAUUGCACAAUGGGCGCAAGCCUGAUGCAGCCAUGCCGCGUGUAUGAAGAAGGCCUUCGGGUUGUAAAGUACUUUCAGCGAGGAGGAAGGCGUUGUGGUUAAUAACCGCAGCGAUUGACGUUACUCGCAGAAGAAGCACCGGCUAACUCCGUGCCAGCCGCCGCGGUAA
rnacentral:rRNA from 1 species